rfam:Ictidomys tridecemlineatus contig100014, whole genome shotgun sequence.
GGGGAUGUGGCUCAGAUGGUAGCGCGCUUGCCUGGUAUGCAUGCAGCCUGGGUUUGAUCCUCAGCAUCACAU